AGAUUUCGCAGCCGACGACUUCCUCGGCAGCCGGGUUCGGUUACGACACUUCGCCGUUUCAAGGCACAAUAUGGAAGCCCACGUCUUUCAAUGUGCUGCGUUGUUGGCAGUUAUCCUCAUCGGUGUCACGAACGCUCAGGUCUCAUGGUCCGGAUCCGCGGUCACUACCUGCCCAAAGUAGAGGUGGCUUCCUGGAACGCCCAUGCAGUCCUCGCGAGGUGUACCUCCAGUGCGGCAGUGCCUGCCCGCGCAUUUGUGGACGGCCAGCACGCACCUUCUGCACGUACCAGUGCGUGAGUGGGUGUUUCUG